rfam:Microscilla marina ATCC 23134 1099589004137, whole genome shotgun sequence.
AAGAGCCGUGUGAUGGGAGACUAUCACGCACGGUUCUGUGAGAGAUUUGGGGUGAAAAUCCCCUUAUCUACUCGAC